AGGGAAUCUUCCGCAAUGGACGAAAGUCUGACGGAGCAACGCCGCGUGAGCGAAGAAGGCCUUCGGGUCGUAAAGCUCUGUUGUCAGGGAAGAACAAGUACCGGAGUAACUGCCGGUACCUUGACGGUACCUGACCAGAAAGUCACGGCUAACUACGUGCCAGCAGCCG
rnacentral:rRNA from 1 species